rnacentral:rRNA from 1 species
GUGAGGAAUAUUGCGCAAUGGAGGCAACUCUGACGCAGCCAUGCCGCGUGCAGGAAGAAGGCGCUACGCGUUGUAAACUGCUUUUAACCGGGAAGAAACCCCAGGACGUGUCCUGGGUUGACGGUACCGGAGGAAUAAGCACCGGCUAACUUCGUGCCAGCAGCCGCGGUAAUACGAAGGGUGCAAGUGUUAUCCGGAUUCAUUGGGUUUAAAGGGUGCGUAGGCGGAGCGUUAAGUCAGUGGUGAAAUCCUGCAGCUUAACUGUAGACUUGCCAUUGAUACUGGCGCUCUUGAGUGCGCUUGAAGUGGGCGGAAUGUGCCGUGUAGCGGUGAAAUGCUUAGAUAUGGCACAGAACACCAAUUGCGAAGGCAGCUCACUAAGGCGAUACUGACGCUGAGGCACGAAAGCGUGGGGAUCGAACAGGAUUAGAUACCCCGGUAGUC